rnacentral:misc_RNA from 1 species
GAUGAAGAACGUAGCGAAAUGCGAUAAGUAGUGUGAAUUGCAGAAUUCAGUGAAUCAUCGAGUCUUUGAACGCACAUUGCGCCCUCUGGUAUUCCGGAGGGCAUGCCUGUCCGAGCGUCAUUGCUGCCCUCAAGCACGGCUUGUGUGUUGGGCCCCGUCCUCCUUCCGGGGGACGGGUCCGAAAGGCAGCGGCGGCACCGCGUCCGGUCCUCAAGCGUAUGGGGCUUUGUCACUCGCUUUGUAGGCCUGGCCGGCGCUUGCCGAUCAACCAAACUUUUUAUCAGGUUGACCUCGGAUCAGGUAGGGAUACCCGCUGAACUUAAGCAUAUCAAUAAGCGGAGGA